GGACCCGCACAAGUAGUGGAGCAUGUGGUUUAAUUCGAAGAUACGCGCAGAACCUUACCAACACUUGACAUGUUCGUCGCGACUUUGAGAGAUCAAAGUUUUUCGGUUCGGCCGGACGAAACACAGGUGCUGCAUGGCUGUCGUCAGCUCGUGUCGUGAGAUGUUGGGUUAAGUCCCGCAACGAGCGCAACCCUCACUUUUAGUUGCCAUCAUUAAGUUGGGCACUCUGAAAGAACUGCCAGUGAUAAGCUGAGGAAGGUGGGGAUGACGUCAAGUCCUCAUGGCCCUUACGUGUUGGGCUACACACGUGCUACAAUGGUAUCUACAACAGGAAGCAAAACUGCGAAAGUUAAG
rnacentral:rRNA from 1 species